rnacentral:rRNA from 1 species
AUGGCCGAUCCAGCGGAGCACCGCGAGGAGGAGGAGGCCGCGGCGGCCGGCGAGGAAGAGGACACCGGCGCCCAAAUCGCUCCCAUAGUGAAGCUCGAGGAGGUUGCCAUCACAACCGGCGAAGAGGACGAGGACGUCCUCCUCGACAUGAAAGCGAAGCUCUACCGAUUUGACAAGGACGGGGGCCAGUGGAAGGAGCGGGGCACGGGUGCCGUCAAGCUGCUCAAGCACAAGGAGACUGCCAAGGUCCGCCUCGUCAUGCGACAGGCCAAGACCCUCAAGAUCUGCGCCAAUCACCUCGUUGUGGCCACGACGAAGAUGCAGGAGCACGCUGGGAGCGACAAGUCGUGCGUGUGGCACGCUCUGGAUUUUGCCGACUGUGAGCUCAAGGAGGAGAUGUUCGCCAUCCGCUUUGGAUCCGUGGAGAACUGCAAAAAAUUCAAGGAUCUUGUAGAUGAGAUUGCUGAGCAGCAAGGAAAGAAUGAGGAGAAAGAAAGCGAGGAAGUCUCCUCUGCUGCCGAGUUGGUAGAGAAAUUGACUGUGGCGGAGGUCAAAAAGGAGGAACAAACGGAGAAAGUGGAGACUCCUGCAGUAGAUGAUAAGAAGGAUGCUGAAAAGUGA